GACGAACGCUGGGCGGCGUGGAUUAGGCAUGCAAAUCGAACGGUAUCAUCCUUUCGGGGGUGAGAGAGUGGCGAACUGGUGAGUAACACGUAGGUUAUCUACCCUCAAGACGGGGACAACCCAGGGAAACUUGGGCUAAUACCGGAUGUGAGCAACUUUUAGUUGUUUGAAAGGUGGCGUAAGCUGUCGCUUGGGGAUGAGCCUGCGUCCUAUUAGUUAGUUGGUGAGGUAACGGCUCACCUAGGCAAUGAUAGGUAGGCGGCCUUAACGGGUGGUCGCCCACACUGGGAUUGAGAUACGGCCCAGACUCCUACGGGAGGCAGCAGUCGAGAAUAGUCUACAAUGGUCGGAAGACUGAUAGUGCGACGCCGCGUGAACGAUGAAUCCCUUCGGGGUGUAAAGUUCUUUUAUAUGUGAGCAGUGCUUCUUAUAUUAACAGUAUGGGGAGAGAGAUAUUAGCAUAUGAAUAAGCAACGGCUAACUCCGUG
rnacentral:rRNA from 1 species